rnacentral:rRNA from 1 species
UUCUGACCGUAAACGAUGCCAACUAGCGAUCCGUCGGUGGCUCCAAGGCCCUGAUGGGGAGCUUCCCGGAAACGAAAGUCUUCCGGUUCCGGGGGAAGUAUGGUUGCAAAGCUGAAACUUAAAGGAAUUGACGGAAGGGCACCACCAGGAGUGGAGCCUGCGGCUUAAUUUGACUCAACACGGGAAAACUCACCCGGCCCGGACACCGUGAGGAUUGACAGAUUGAUAGCUUUUUCAUGAUUCGGUGGUUGGUGGUGCAUGGCCGUUCUUAGUUCGUGGAUCGAUUUGUCUGGUUUAUUCCGAUAACGAGCGAGACUCCAGCCUACUAAAUAGUGCGGGAAUUGCCACUGUUCCCUUGCACUUCUUAGAGGGAUUGGCUGCGUCUAGCGGCACGAAACGGAGCAAUAACAGGUCUGUGAUGCCCUUAGAUGUCCGGGGCUGCACGCGCGCUACACUGGCAAAGGCAGCGUGCUUGUCCGUCUCCGAAAGGAGUCGGUAAACCCUUGAAAAUUUGCCGUGAUUGGGAUCGGAAAUUGCAAUUAUUUUCCGUGAACGAGGAAUUCCUAGUAAGUGCGAGUCAUCAGCUCGCGUUGA